rnacentral:misc_RNA from 1 species
GAUGAAGAACGUAGCGAAAUGCGAUAAGUAAUGUGGAUUGCAGAAUUCAGUGAAUCAUCGAAUCUUUGAACGCACAUUGCGCCCCCUGGUAUUCCGGGGGGCAUGCCUGUUCGAGCGUCAUUUCAACCCUCAAGCUCUGCUUGGUAUUGGGCGUCGCCGGGGAGUCUCCCCGGCGUGCCUCAAAGCCAUCGGCGGUGGUGCCUUUCUCUAAGCGUGGUAGAAUUUUUAUUCGCUUCUGAGUUGGGCUUCGCCUGCCGGACAAACCGGGCCCUCGCGGCCCACCUUCUCAGGUUGACCUCGGAUCAGGUAGGGAUACCCGCUGAACUUAAGCAUAUCAAUAAGCGGAGGA